GGGACUUCAAAGCCGUGAUCGUGAAUAUCGAGAACUGCCAUUGUCGUCUUUAUGUCCGCCCACCUAGUGCUUCCACUUCUAUGCAAAUGCCUCCAAGCCAUUCACUUCCCCAAUCUUGUCGUUGAUGGGUAUGUGUUUAAAACAUGCACGGUGAGGCCGGGCGCAGUGGCUCACGCCUGUAAUCCCAACACUUUGGGAGGCCGAGGCAGGUGGAUCACGAGGUCAGGAGUUCGAGGCCAGCCUGGCCAAUAUGGUCUUUUUGGAAGUGGAUAUCUACUCAGACAGUAAGAAUUA
rnacentral:misc_RNA from 1 species